rnacentral:misc_RNA from 1 species
GGCUGGUUGUUUCCUCUUCGCCUCCCGAGUAAUCCCUGUCGCCACUAUUGGUAUUGGUGAGACCAUUUUCGGAUAGCAGGGGCCUAGAGAUUUCGAGUCUCGGAGUGGUCUCGUAGGCGCUAAGAGGAUUAUGGCCGUCUUCAGUGAAAUUUUGAUUCAGGGUUUUGUCUGGAUUUUGGGGAUCGGAGAAUUCAGGUUCUGGUGGCGGAGGAGGAGGAUUUUCAUAGUGAAAAUCUAGGGUUUCAGGCGGCGGCUGAGAAGGAUCUAAAGAUUGGAAUUGGGUUGGGUGGAGGGAGUCCAUAGAGUCCAUUGAAUGGGGGGG